GGCAGAAAGAGAGAGAGAGUGCACAGGGGGUUACAGCAAACACCUUCCAGCUGGUAGGAAACUUCCAUUGUCCCCAAAUGGAUGGUAAGGCUGCUUAAAUAAGCUGUGCAUUUAUAACAUAUCUCCUCAGAGAAUUAUAGAAGUGACACUGCUGUAUCUCAGUGGAAAGGCAGCAGAAGUUGAAAAAGUAAACAGAAAAGCCUAGUGGAUGGAUUAAUAGAAGGUUCAGACCUUACCGCUUUCUUACUACAGAUCCACAAUAUCUUGCUGCAGACGCUGUCUGGUAGGAGAUUGAGGAGUCCUGAAGAGCUUUACAGGGCAGCACCACGUCCUCAGCACACCUCACAGCAACAUCUGGGAUCAUCACAGAAGUCCCACGGAUCAAGCACCAAACUGCAAAGCACAGUGUUGACAGAGCCUUGGAAAUGCUUGGAAUCAUAUCCUGUUUCCUCAAACCAGGUAGGUACUACAUCC